AUUGAACGCUGGCGGCAGGCCUAACACAUGCAAGUCGAACGAGUGGCGGACGGGUGAGUAAUGUCUGGGAAACUGCCCGAUGGAGGGGGAUAACUACUGGAAACGGUAGCUAAUACCGCAUACCAUCGGAUGUGCCCAGAUGGGCUUAGCUUGUAGGUGAGGUAACGGCUCACCUAGGAGACGAUGCCUAGCUGGUCUGAGAGGAUGACCGGCAAACCUGGAACUGAGACACGGGCCAGACGCCUACGGGAGGGAGCAGUGGGGAAUAUUGCAUAAUGGGCGCAAGCCGGAUGAAGCCAGGCCGCGUGUAUGAAGAAGGCCUGCGGGUUGUAAAGUACUGUCAGCGGGGAGGCGUUACCCGCAGAAGAAGCACAGGCGAACUCCGUGCCAGCAGCCGCGGUAAUAC
rnacentral:rRNA from 1 species